rnacentral:rRNA from 1 species
UACGAAGGGGGCUAGCGUUGUUCGGAAUCACUGGGCGUAAAGGGCGCGUAGGCGGCCACCGCAAGUCGACUGUGAAAUCUCCGGGCUUAACCCGGAAAGGUCAGCCGAUACUGCGGGGCUAGAGUGCAGAAGGGGCAACUGGAAUUCUCGGUGUAGCGGUGAAAUGCGUAGAUAUCGAGAGGAACACCUGCGGCGAAGGCGGGUUGCUGGGCUGACACUGACGCUGAAGCGCGAAAGCUAGGGGAGCGAACGGG